rnacentral:rRNA from 1 species
CCUACGGGGGGCAGCAGUGAGGAAUAUUGGUCAAUGGGCGAGAGCCUGAACCAGCCAAGUCGCGUGAAGGAUGACGGCCCUACGGGUUGUAAACUUCUUUUGUCAGGGAGCAAUUGGGUCCACGCCUGGUCUUAGCGAGAGUACCUGAUGAAAAAGCAUCGGCUAACUCCGUGCCAGCAGCCGCGGUAAUACGGAGUAUGCUAGCGUUAUCCGGAUUUAUGGGGUGUAGAGGGUGCGUAGGCGGAAUAUCAAGUCAGCGGUAAAAAUUCGGGGCUCAACCCCGUCGUGCAGUUGAAACUGAUGUUCUUGAGUGGGCGAGAAGUAUGCGGAAUGCGUGGUGUAGCGGUGAAAUGCAUAGAUAUCACGCAGAACUCCGAUUGCGAAGGCAGCAUACCGGCGGCCAACUGACGCUGAAGCACGAAAGCGUGGGUAUCGAACAGGAUUAGAUACCCGGGUAGUC